GUUCCUAUAGCAACCCUGUGAGGGGAGUCCUGUUGUUCCCACUUUUCAGGUGCGGAAAAUGAGGCAGAGGAGUUAAGCUAUUUUCUCGAGCUACCACCACUGCAGUGAUCUCAUCAAUGAUGUCUCCCCAAAAUGGGGUUUGAAUCUACCUUCAGGCAGCCUCUGCCCUUGUGAUGGUAGGAUGGCAGUCCAGCUUCAGGACUACCUCUCACCAGCUCAGCACCUUAGUGAAAAGAGAACUCCUCCCAAGGGUUUAAAUACAAGCCCUAGGACUGCAUUUUAUUGAAUGUAUUAUAUAAUGUAUUAUAAUAUACUUGAGUCACAUGCCAAGCCAUACCAUGUAUCCAUCCUGGAAACCUGGAGGUGGAGUCAACCCCACCUAAAUCAACAUGGCCUGAGAAUGGGGAAGGAGAAGUUCUCCAAGGGCAAGGCGGAGGUUCUUGACAGAAGAGGAGAGAGACGCUGAGUAGAUGAGAAGAGCCAACAUCUACCACAGAGCGGAAAACAACAACCUUGAUUCUCAUGACAAGCCUGAAAGACUUCUUGGUGGUUCUCUUUAUUUGGAGAAACCUUUAUAUCUUCACACAGCUGGGAUCUUCCAAGAAGGUUUUGGAUGACUGGACCCUGGCUGUUUCUGAGUGAUCAUUCAAGUCGACCCCAUCCAGAUGGCAGACAUGGAGUGGGCCCGCUCUGGUUUGAGUCACAUCUCUUAUGCUUACCAGUUCUAUGUUCCUGGAUGAGUCAUCUCAUCACUCUGAACUUUAGCCCCUCAUCAAAAGUGAAGACACUCCUAUCUACCUGGCAGCAUUGUUGGCAA
rnacentral:lncRNA from 1 species